rnacentral:rRNA from 1 species
AAACUGGAUCGAUUGUUGGAAACGCCCCUGUACACAAGCAGGCAGGUGCAUUGAUUUUUACGUGAACUAGUACAUGCACGUAGAAACAACCAGCGGCUUGUUCGAACGGCACCUCCGAGCAUCUCUGCUGCCGCCGGCGUUCGUCCCGCUCGUGCCUCUCGUUCGUCGUCUCGGUCGCCGUCGAGCUCGUCAUCCUGGUCGCUUUCCUCUUCCUUUUCAACUUGUCCAGCUCGCCUCCCGAUGGCCUUCCCGGUCUUCAGAUUGUGC